AUAAUUCUUGUGUUCAAGAUAGAUUUAUUUUUCUUUGUUGCUUUUUGUGAGAACACUUAAUGUGUGUGCUGAAGGGAUGCACCUUAAAAUUAGAUAUUAUAUAUCAAAAUGUUUUUCUGGUAGAUAAAAUCAAUUGGUAUUACAUAAGCUUGUUCAUCGGGAGCUGUUUUCAGGAAAACCAACUUUUGACAAACUCCAGCUUUUUCUUUUAUUUUUUUAUUUUCUUUCCUGAAGGGAACCGAAACUAAUGUCUUAAACAGAGCUUCUGAUUCUUCUCUUUGGAAAUCACUGGGGUCUUACAGAGGAACUGAAAUCUUGUCUCCAUAAUUUUUGCAUAAACCAAGUUUAUCAACUGAAUGGUUUUGAGACCUUAUGUCCCGAAAAAAUGUCCAGAGCCUCUCUCAUCUUUGGUUACUGAGAAGAAUGUGAUCUCCUCAUGUCUGAAACUGUAUCUGGAAAGAUGCCACUGCAUGACUUUCAGAUACGUACGAAGUUUACAGCACAGUUCCCUAAUGCAAUGGACAGGUGCUUCAGACAGGGCCUAUAGGAGAUCCUGUUAGCAUUGAAAUCUUUCUUCAGUUCUCAGUUAAGGAGAUAUGGUGGUACCUUAUUGCUCUGUAGCAUGAUAGCUUUCAUCUUGAGAGCAAUGGGAAGAGUCCAAAUGGAUGGAAGAGACUUUUCCUCAGAUGUUGAGAUAAAUAUAAAAGUGUGCUUUUAAUAAAUGUGCUAAUAAACCAAACUUACUU